rnacentral:rRNA from 1 species
UGCGUAGGCGGCGCUCUAAGUUUGGUGUGAAAUCUCCCGGCUUAACUGGGAGGGUGCACUGAAAACUGGGGCGCUCGAGUAUGGGAGAGGAAAGCGGAAUUCCUGGUGUAGCGGUGAAAUGCGUAGAGAUCAGGAGGAACACCUGCGGUGUAGACGGCUUUCUGGACCAUAACUGACGCUGAGGCACGAAAGCGUGGGUAGCAAACAGGAUUAGAUACCCUGGUAGUCCACGCCCUAAACGAUGCAUACUUGGUGUGGGUUCUUCACUGGAUCCGUGCCGGAGCUAACGCGUUAAGUAUGCCGCCUGGGGAGUACGGUCGCAAGGCUGAA